UGGGGAAUAUUGCACAAUGGGCGAAAGCCUGAUGCAGCGACGCCGCGUGGGGGAUGACGGUCUUCGGAUUGUAAACCCCUUUCAGUAGGGACGAAGCGCAAGUGACGGUACCUGCAGAAGAAGCACCGGCCAACUACGUGCCAGCAGCCGCGGUAAUACGUAGGGUGCGAGCGUUGUCCGGAAUUACUGGGCGUAAAGAGCUCGUAGGCGGUUUGUCACGUCGUCUGUGAAAUCCUCCAGCUUAACUGGGGGCGUGCAGGCGAUACGGGCAGACUUGAGUACUACAGGGGAGACUGGAAUUCCUGGUGUAGCGGUGAAAUGCGCAGAUAUCAGGAGGAACACCGGUGGCGAAGGCGGGUCUCUGGGUAGUAACUGACGCUGAGGAGCGAAAGCAUGGGUAGCGAACA
rnacentral:rRNA from 1 species